rnacentral:rRNA from 1 species
UACGAAGGGGGCUAGCGUUGCUCGGAAUCACUGGGCGUAAAGCGCGCGUAGGCGGAUUGUUAAGUCAGGGGUGAAAUCCUGGAGCUCAACUCCAGAACUGCCUUUGAUACUGGCGAUCUCGAGUCCGGGAGAGGUGAGUGGAACUGCGAGUGUAGAGGUGAAAUUCGUAGAUAUUCGCAAGAACACCAGUGGCGAAGGCGGCUCACUGGCCCGGUACUGACGCUGAGGUGCGAAAGCGUGGGGAGCAAACAGGG